rnacentral:lncRNA from 1 species
GGCAGAGCCAGGAGAGUGGAGGCCUCGUGGCCAAAGGUGCCGGAAUUCCCAGCGGGACCCGGAGAUCGGGAAAGGCGCAGGGAGAGGGGAAAUGGCCGGGCCAGAGCUGGGGGGGCUUCGGGAGCUGCCCUGGCACGGGCGGGAUUAUCAGAGCUGGGAGAGCCAUCCAUGGAUCCAUCCAUCCGUCCAUCCGUCCAUCCAUCCAUCCAUCCAUGGAUCGAUCCAUCCAUCCAUCCAUCAUCCCUCCAUCCAUCCAUCCAUCCAUCCCUCCAUCCAUCCAUCAUCCAUCCCUGCUCCCAUCCCGUCCUUUCCUCCCACUCCCAGCUCCCAGGAGCUGGAGAUCCUUUGGAUCCCUCUCUGCCCUGGGCUCUCUCCUUCCUCCCCUUUCCCGAGCUGCUCCAAGGGCUCGUGGUUUGCACAGCAGGAAUUUGGGGCUGGCUGAGUCACAGGAGCAGGAGGGGACAAACCCCCCAUGGCCCCCCAGGACAGGAUUUCCCAGCUGUUUCCAGGUGCCUGUGGGAUCAGGAUGUGGGGGCCCAGGUUCCCCUUCCAGAGGUGGGAACUGUUCCCCCUUCCCUGCAGGUUUCCCUUUAUUCCCCUGCCGCAUCUCCCCGUGAACAUUUUCCCACUGGAAUUUCAAUUUGCGGCACCGAUGUUCCCAUUUCCUUCUCCUCGUUAAAAUCCUGGGGAUCCCACGGGGGAGCCAGAGGCCUCGGAGCCAGGCAGGGUUGGGUAACCUCUGGAAAAACACGUUCCCAAAGUUCCCGGAGUUCCCGGGGCGGCUCCUCCCUCCUCCCGUCCUGCUCCGGCACCUGCAGCUCGGAGCUCCCUCCUUUGCCAGGGUCUGCAUGGCAAAGGGAAAGGAUUCCUCGGGAAUGUGGCUGUGGGAAGCUCGGGGGGAGCUGCAGCUCCGUGCUGGGGUCACUCCCAAGGGAACAUCGGGACAGCCCCGCCCGGCUUUGCCCCGAACUCCAAAUCCCCUCUGGCUGCCCGUGGGUGUUCGGGGCGUGGGAAGCUCCAGGAGGAAUUCCCCAACCCCCUCAGGACCUGGGAGAUCCCAGGAAUCCCACACAGGAGAGACCUGGAGGGAGCAGUGCCACCGCCUUGGUGCACUCGGUGCCACCUCCUUGGUGCCACCACCUCGGUGCCACCUGCCCGUGCCCAGAGCCAAAUCCCUUCCCACUGGAGCAGAGCCAAGCCAGCUCCCAGCCCUUGGGACCCUCUGGGUGUCCCCUCCUGGUCCCGGUCUCAUUCCAGGCCGAUCUUUUCCCCCCUGUUCCAGUCCUGGAAGAGCCAACGCCACCGGCAGUGGCCGGCGCUGGCUCCUGUCCCGGGAAAGGCACCUGGGAAUUCCCACCCCUGGCUCUGCCCGGGAUCCUCUCCAGCUGCAGGAAUUCCUGCCCAGGGCCUGCAGGGUCAGUCCCAGGUGACACCUGUGUCACAUCCCGCUCCAGCCCGGAAUGGGGACACGCCAGGACCGGGAGGCAGGAGCCUUCCCGGGCUCUGAGACAGCUGGGAUGAGGCAUCCCGAGCUCUGCAGAGCUCAUGGAAAAUCCAGGCCAGCCCAGGGAGGCUUUCCAGGAGCCCUGACGGGUUUGGGGCCAAGCCUGCGGUUCGGGAGUUUUCCGCCUUUUUCAGGGGUUUCAGGAGGGAGUUUUGUGUCAGCUCCACUUCCAGCCUGGUUUCCUUGGGUUUCCCUGGAGAAGGACGCCUGGACUUGCUCAGAGCUCCCCCAGCUCUGGGGCACAUGUGGG